UGGGUUGUGGCUCAGUGGUAGAGCACUUGCCUAGCAUGUGUGAGGCCCUGGGUUUGAUUCUCAGCAUCACAU
rnacentral:tRNA from 1 species